rnacentral:rRNA from 1 species
UACGAAGGGGGCUAGCGUUGCUCGGAAUCACUGGGCGUAAAGGGUGCGUAGGCGGGUCUUUAAGUCAGGGGUGAAAUCCUGGAGCUCAACUCCAGAACUGCCUUUGAUACUGAGGAUCUUGAGUUCGGGAGAGGUGAGUGGAACUGCGAGUGUAGAGGUGAAAUUCGUAGAUAUUCGCAAGAACACCAGUGGCGAAGGCGGCUCACUGGCCCGAUACUGACGCUGAGGCACGAAGCGUGGG